GACGAACGCUGGCGGCGUGCUUAACACAUGCAAGUCGAACGGAAAGGCCCUGCUUUUGUGGGGUGCUCGAGUGGCGAACGGGUGAGUAACACGUGAGUAACCUGCCCUUGACUUUGGGAUAACUUCAGGAAACUGGGGCUAAUACCGGAUAGGAGCUCCUGCUGCAUGGUGGGGGUUGGAAAGUUUCGGCGGUUGGGGAUGGACUCGCGGCUUAUCAGCUUGUUGGUGGGGUAGUGGCUUACCAAGGCUUUGACGGGUAGCCGGCCUGAGAGGGUGACCGGCCACAUUGGGACUGAGAUACGGCCCAGACUCCUACGGGAGGCAGCAGUGGGGAAUAUUGCACAAUGGGCGGAAGCCUGAUGCAGCAACGCCGCGUGCGGGAUGACGGCCUUCGGGUUGUAAACCGCUUUCGCCUGUGACGAAGCGUGAGUGACGGUAAUGGGUAAAGAAGCACCGGCUAACUACGUGCCAGCAGCCGCGGUGAUACGUAGGGUGCGAGCGUUGUCCGGAUUUAUUGGGCGUAAAGGGCUCGUAGGUGGUUGAUCGCGUCGGAAGUGUAAUCUUGGGGCUUAACCCUGAGCGUGCUUUCGAUACGGGUUGACUUGAGGAAGGUAGGGGAGAAUGGAAUUCCUGGUGGAGCGGUGGAAUGCGCAGAUAUCAGGAGGAACACCAGUGGCGAAGGCGGUUCUCUGGGCCUUUCCUGACGCUGAGGAGCGAAAGCGUGGGGAGCGAACAGGCUUAGAUACCCUGGUAGUCCACGCUGUAAACGGUGGGUACUAGGUGUGGGGUCCAUUCCACGGGUUCCGUGCCGUAGCUAACGCUUUAAGUACCCCGCCUGGGGAGUACGGCCGCAAGGCUAAAACUCAAAGGAAUUGACGGGGCCCCGCACAAGCGGCGGAGCAUGCGGAUUAAUUCGAUGCAACGCGUAGAACCUUACCUGGGUUUGACAUGGAUCGGGAGCGCUCAGAGAUGGGUGUGCCUCUUUUGGGGUCGGUUCACAGGUGGUGCAUGGCUGUCGUCAGCUCGUGUCGUGAGAUGUUGGGUUAAGUCCCGCAACGAGCGCAACCCUUGUUCACUGUUGCCAGCACGUUAUGGUGGGGACUCAGUGGAGACCGCCGGGGUCAACUCGGAGGAGGGUGGGGAUGACGUCAAGUCAUCAUGCUCCUUAUGUCCAGGGCUUCACGCAUGCUACAAUGGCUGGUACAGAGAGUGGCGAGCCUGUGAGGGUGAGCGAAUCUCGGAAAGCCGGUCUCAGUUCGGAUUGGGGUCUGCAACUCGACCUCAUGAAGUCGGAGUCGCUAGUAAUCGCAGAUCAGCAACGCUGCGGUGAAUACGUUCCCGGG
rnacentral:rRNA from 1 species